AUGCCUAUGAUGAGAUCUAUACCAAAAAUACCAUCUUUCGGGACUGAAUGGCUUGUUAAUAGCCUUGCUGUCAUUCUGCAAUUCUGAGGCAU